GAUGAACGCUAGCUACAGGCUUAACACAUGCAAGUCGAGGGGAAACGGCAUCGUAAGCUUGCUUUUGAUGGGCGUCGACCGGCGCACGGGUGAGUAACGCGUAUCCAACCUGCCCAUCACUUGGUAAUAACCUUGCGAAUGUAAGACUAAUGCCCAAUGACAUCCCACGAAGGCAUCCGAAUGGGUUUAAAGUUUUAUCGGUGAUGGAUGGGGAUGCGUCUGAUUAGCUUGUUGGCGGGGUGACUGCCCACCAAGGCAACGAUCAGUAGGGGUUAUGAGAGGAAGGUACACCACAUGGGAACUGAGAAACGGACGAAACACCGACGGGAGGCAGCAGUGAGGAAUAGUGGAGAAGGGGAGAGAGCAUGAACCAGCCAAGUAGCGUGAAGGAAGACGGCGCUAUGGGUUGUAAACUGCUUUUAUAAGGGAAUAAAGUGGGUCACGGGUGACUUUUUGAAGGUACCUUAUGAAUAAGGACCGGCUAAUUCCGUG
rnacentral:rRNA from 1 species